rnacentral:tRNA from 1 species
GAGCCGCUAGCUCAGUCGGUAGAGCAACGGACUUUUAAUCCGUAGGUCGACGGUUCGAGCCCGUCGCGGCUCA